UAUACGUAUGUACAUGUAUAUAAUAUAUAAUGCAUAUAUAGUAUAUAUGAUGUGUGUGUGUGUGGCCACAGGGUCCUUGGGAGAGGAAUAAGCAAUGGACUACAAUAAGAAGCUUGGACUUGGGAGUUGACAGAAUCCACAGAGGAGUAUGAUAUGAUGUAGACCUCGAGGUAUGCACACUUAUGAACUAUUACGUGCGUGAUGGCAUUGGGUUGGACUCCAGAGAGAGGCUCACACACCAGAGUCCAUACUUACUAAUUCCGUUGGAUCUUUGUACACCUUAGUUGCUUCAUCUUCAUAAGAGCUGGGGGGGGGGUGUCAGUGGGUAGAGUGCUUACUGGGCAAGCAUGAGAACAGGGGUUUGGAUCCCCAGAGCCCACACAAGGCUAGAUAUGAUAGCAUUCAUCUGUAACACCAGAAAGCCUACAGCAAGACAGGAGGCAGAGAUGGGAGCUGAAAGCUCUCAGGACAGUUUGCCUGAAACAUAUGCAACAUUGCCGUAACAGGAGACCCCACCUCAAAGGUGGAAGGUGAGGGCCAACACAUGAGGCUGGCCUCUGACUUCCGUGUGUGCUAAGGCACGUACGCAUGUGCACGCGUAUACACAGAGGAAAGGAGAGUGAUGCUUGACUUUUGACCUGGUUAAAAUGGAAAGCAUGUGUCAGCACGCUCUACCUUACUGCUGAUCGAGACUAAGGUCUCUUUCAUAAGACUUGGGCUGGCACACAGCCUUUGGAUCUGAAGGAAGAGAUUAAAAAACAGAUCCACCUUGUGGAAAAUACCAGGCCCUAGGAGACUAGACAUAAAGCUUCUUUAAGGCUCGGUUUGACUCCAGGAAUUUGGGUUCUUCCAGGCUACCAAAUAGACAGAGUAGUCUGAGGGUCUGGGCUGCUGGCCACCCUGGUUACUAAGCCAGGCUGUCACUAAACAAGGCCUUGCAUCACUGGGACUAUCUGUCACCUAGAAUCUCACAGCAGCUACCUAGCUAGUUAGUCCCAUCUCUGCUUCCUCCUACCCCAAAUCUCUUCACAACAGGUUACCACAAUCCCUGAAGUUCUGCAAUGAGUCUCCAAUUCCCUCAGAGUGAAAGCUAAGGUCUUUUGACAUCCUUCAGGGCUCAGGAGCUGUUUCCUGUCUGACUCCAUCUCCUGCUGCUCUCCUCUCUGAGCCUCUUGGGCUCUGCUGCCUCCUCCCUCAGGCUCUGACUACACCCUCUGAUUGGAGAGUCUUGCUUGAGGAUAUCCACAUGCAACUCACUCACUCCCACAAAUCUUUGCUCAAGUGUCAACUCCUCAAGGAAACUCCUGACAACCCUUUCUAAAAUAGUAACUGCACACCGCCUACCCCCAGCAUGCUGCAACCCAGUUACCCUGCGAUUAUCUCUUUGAGGAGCAUUCGUCGCCCAACUCACCUCGUCGUUUACUGACUUUUCUCCGUGGAUCUUUCUCUGUCUCCCUUCACUAGAGGAUAAGCCACAUGAAGGCAGUGACUUCGGCAAGUCUUACAUAUCCUGAGGGCCUAGAACACUUAGUGGCUGCCCAGAAAUACCGGCUGGUUUUUGACUUGGCUCAUUUGGGAUGCUGGAGGCAAAGAAGCAAGCCUACUGUCCAUUGAUGAUGAGCUGACAGUUGGUAACCAACUUCCAAGGAGGAUCUGAGCUCAUUCUAGGGCAGAAGCAAUUUAUUCCCUCCCACCCUCCCCCUCCUUGUCAAGCUGAAAGUUGAGUCCUAACCUUGCACGAAGCUCUGCAGCUUUCCUCGUGCAUUAGCUGUUUCCCUUGCUGUGAGAACAGACUCCAUGUGUAGACGGGGCUCGCCUCAAACUCAGAGAUCCAUCUGCUUCUGUCUCCCACCUCCUAGGACUACCUAACUCCAACCGAUAACCACUCACAAAGGAAGAUGUGUGUUUGUUUUCUAGUGAGAAAGAGUGUGGAGCCAAGUAGAAGAGAUGCAGGCUGUGUGUUCUCACCAGAGAAACGAAUCUUCAACCUUGGGCACCCCAAAACCAUGAGCCGUGGCAAAUCUUUCCCCCUCUUGAUGUGGCAUCUCAGGCUAUUACCUCACAGUCACAGAGAACUGACUAGCACACUUGGUGUGGGUCUGUUGGAGAGCAAAGGCAGAAUAACGAAAGAACCCAACGUGCGCCUUCUGAUGCUUUCAAGGUGUCUCCAUCUGUUUUCUGCUGCUAUAGUAAAAUGCUUGAUACUAGGCAAUUUGCAAAGGAAAGAGGCUUAUUUAGGUUAAUGGAGAGUGGGAUGCUGGAGAAUCUGGUGACAACAUCUGUCAAGUUUCUCCAGAGGGUCUUGUUCUGCUUCAACCCAUGGCAAAAAGUGGAAGAGCGAGUGGCUGCAGGCUCGAGAGGCAGGACACAGGUGUGGCCUGGCUUCAUGUCAGCCUGCUCUUGUGAUAGCUGAUCUUGUUGUCUGCAUUAAUCCCUCUUGUGGAACUAGUCACCUCUUAGAGGCUUCAUUACCCCACCACCCAGCACAUUAGACGAGGAAUCGAAUUCCAGCGUGCACUUCAGAGGAGACAACCCAUAUUCAAACCCCAGCAGGAGGAGCUAAAGCAGGAGGCUUUGGUGUCACGCCCACACCACAGAAACAACAUUAUCCAGGCUGGCGGCACAACUAGCCAUAUCAUCCCUAUGCGUAAAAUAAAGAUAUGGGGUCAGGUGAUGUCUGAGAUGCUUUCUAGUCCUCACAUGUUUUUGUAAGCCAAGGGUGGGCUUGAUGUGGAGCGUCUGACUGGGGUCAGCUAGAGGAAGAAACCAUGUGAGCUCCCAGUGAGAGAGGACGUCGGUUUGGGAAGAUGAGACAUGGUCAGUCGUGUGAGCAUAACUGGAUGAGGGUGUGGCACCUGCUGAAACAACAGACGCGUCAUCCCCGACAGACCCUGCAGCCUAGGUGGAGUUUCUGGGCUUGUAAAACACUAACCCAAACAUGGCAAGACGUUAAUCUGUAGGGGACAGAUUAGUGUGUAUGUGGCUCAGCUGACCACAGGGCAGGGACUAGGGAUGGCAAUGGCCAGAAAUGGGGCAGGGAACCGGGCUGUGAACUCGUCCGGUUCUUAGCUCCACUUUUCCUUUUGUGGCAUGUGCAUGUGCCUGUCUGUGUGGAGUCCUUCUUCUUCAGGAGCAGAUGAGUAAACUGGACUUACCUGUCUUGGGCUUCCCUUCCCUUCCCUUCCCUUCCCUUUCCUUGUGUGUAAAAACACAUAUCUGUGUGAAGUCCUUUUCCGGGAGUAGUCCAGUCUACCUUGUGUUUUGAGACAGACUCUCUCACUGGGACUCGGACCUGCUGGUUAAGCCAGUCUGGCUGGCUAAUGAAUCCCAAGGAUCCUUCCCACCCUGCCUCCUCAGUGCUGGGACUAAAAGCAGCAGCACCACGAUCCCCAUCCCUUUUCGAUGUGGGUGCUGGAGACUGGACUUAGGUUCUCAUGCUUCUUGCCCAGCAGCGACUUUACCCACUGAGCUCUCUCCUGGUCCCUCCCUCUCACCUCUCACCUCUCACCACGCUGUUGAGACUCUCAAUCCAGGCUGGCCUCAUCCUCACUGUGGUGAUGAGAAUGGCCUUGAACUUCUGACUUUCCUGUCUACAUCUCAAAACCUGGUUUACAUUUUACUGGAGAGAAAGCCUGGGGCUUCUUGGAUGCUAGGUAACAAUAUCCAACUGAAGUCCAUCCUGAGACCUCUACUGACUAUUUCUUUAUGCUGAGCUAUUUGGGCUGAGCGCGCUGGGGCUCUUUAAUGCUGGGGAGGGGAAUGUCAAUCAAGAUGACACACACAUGGGGAGGUGGGGUUGACUGAUUGGUGUGCAUAUGAGAAGUGGUAUAAUUUUAUCUUCUAACCCAGCCUGGCAGGGCCUGGGAGUUACUUAGUUUUUAAAGAAGGAAGACAAAAACCAGCAUAUACGAGUCUGUGGUUGUGCUCACAUGGGUCGCAGCUUGUGAGGAGGCAGCUGAAAUCCCAAAUCAAUAAGGUAAUUGAGUCAUUUCCCUCAAGAGUCUCAGGCUAUUACUUUAAGUGGACACAGGGCAGUCGGCUGUGUUUGUUGAGCUGUAAUCAGCUUUGGACUCAUUGGACACAUUGAUCUCUUCUAACACCAUUCGGUGUUUGCACUGAACUGGGAGAGGUUGUCUCUGUCUCCUCCGUCCGUUCCUCCCUCAGUCCUUUCCUCCCCAUUCCCCGGGCUUCCAAAGAACCAAAGCAAAUGCGUAUUUUCCUCUGCCAGCUAGGCCGGAGGCUUUCUGCUCCCCAUCACUUGUUCUAACAGCAAAAAUCAAUUUUCCAAGACUCUACACUUCUACACACACACACACACACACACACACACACACACACACACACACAUCCUCCUCUCAACAAAUGUGCUUUUUAAUUUAGGAAAAGCGUCAAAACAACAGGUCCACUAUAGUUCUACAGUGUGUCCUAGGGCAGAAAAGCAGUUCCCAACCCGGCAAGGGACAUUGUCCUCAUUGAAGCUGCUCCCAACUCUGGUCAGCUCACAAUCCCAACCUUUGUGAUGACCAAAGAAUCAUGGCCUGUCCCCUUCCCCUCAGACUCCACCCUGCUGGCCCCCAAAGGUCACUGUCAGUGAUGUCACGGAAAAGUAUGUGUUAGAGCCUGUCCUCAGAGGCAGCCCUGGAAACUGCUGGUGGAUUCCAGAAAGUUGGCAGCGUUGCACUCCUUUUACUGAGCCCUGGCCCUGAGAAACGUCUCCAUCUUGAAUGCAGGACACAGGGGAAGGACUCCACUGUGGCUGGUGUGACCUGGAUGGGUGACCCCUCGGACAGUGUGGAUGCUCUGACUUCUACUGUGGUUUCCAUAUUCUUUCCCCUGGCAGUCCAUGGAGUACGGGGGGUGGGAGGGGACUUAGUCCUUCCCCCUAGUCCCUAGCCUCUCCUUGUAG
rnacentral:sRNA from 1 species